CUAGCACUUUCAUAGGUCCUCCCUCAGACUCUGGGGCCAGGAUUUGGUAGCUGUUGCUGAGAGAAAAUCCUUGCCUUGGGACUGUGCCAGGGGCAGCUGUCACUCUA
rnacentral:snoRNA from 1 species